CUUGGCGACCAUAGCGUUUUGGACCCACCUGAUCCCAUCCCGAACUCAGAAGUGAAACGAAACAGCGUCGAUGGUAGUGUGGGGU
rnacentral:rRNA from 1 species